CAUCUUCACAUACAGUUCUCUCGUCUUCUGGAUCGGAUACAUUUGACAGAAAGAGAAAUUGAGUGAGAGAGUAGAGAGCGAAAAGAGGUUUGACCCCCUCUCUCAGAAGA
ensembl:ncRNA T14B4.13 ncRNA